ensembl:snoRNA SNORD79 Small nucleolar RNA SNORD79
UGCUGUUAGUGAUGAUUUGUAAAAGUUAAAACAGAUGGGAAUCUCUCUGAAAGAGAAUGAAGAUUAAUUUUAAACUGAAACAGUA